rnacentral:rRNA from 1 species
UACGGAGGGUGCGAGCGUUGUCCGGAAUCACUAGGGCGUAAAGGGCGCGUGAGGUGGCCUGUGGAAGUCUGCGGUGAAAGCCCGGCGCUCAACGCCGGGUCGGCCGUGGAUACUCUCGGGGCUCGAGCUUACUAGAGGCAGAUGGAAUUCCGGGUGUAGCGGUGGAAUGCGUAGAGAAUCCGGAAGAACACCGGUGGCGAAGGCGGUCUGCUGGGGUAAUGCUGACACUGAUGCGCGACAGCGGUGGGGAGCAAACAGG